rnacentral:rRNA from 1 species
AGUGAACGCUGGCGGUAGGCCUAACACAUGCAAGUCGAACGGCAGCACAGUAAGAGCUUGCUCUUACGGGUGGCGAGUGGCGGACGGGUGAGGAAUACAUCGGAAUCUACUUUUUCGUGGGGGAUAACGUAGGGAAACUUACGCUAAUACCGCAUACGACCUACGGGUGAAAGCAGGGGAUCUUCGGACCUUGCGCGAUUGAAUGAGCCGAUGUCGGAUUAGCUAGUUGGCGGGGUAAAGGCCCACCAAGGCGACGAUCCGUAGCUGGUCUGAGAGGAUGAUCAGCCACACUGGAACUGAGACACGGCCCAGACCCCUACGGGAGGCAGCAGUGGGGAAUAUUGGACAAUGGGCGCAAGCCUGAUCCAGCCAUACCGCGUGGGUGAAGAAGGCCUUCGGGUUGUAAAGCCCUUUUGUUGGGAAAGAAAAGCAGCAGGUUAAUACCCCGCUGUUCUGACGGUACCCAAAGAAUAAGCACCGGCUAACUUCGUG